AGAUUUAGAAAUGGAGGUAUUACAUUUUUGGAGAGGAAGAGCUUGAUGGAAAAUCAGAGGAGAGUGAUUCGAGUCCGACUUGAUGCAUCGAUUUGGUGAUGAAAUUUCAUAUUUCACUAGGGAAAUUCAAGAAUUCACUUUGCCUUAAUUUCAUCGCCAUGGCUGCGGAGCUUUCUUUUGGAGUUCACCGACGUCUCUUGUGUUUACAACCUUCUUUUUUCUCAACCGUACAAAGGCAUUUUACAAUGAUUGUUAAAGAGCAAAAAGGAUUUUUAUGCUGAUUUUGAGUGUUUUUGACCGCCUCAAUUUGUUAACUUACAGGUAAAGCAAUGUGUCGUCUUAUUUUCAGUUGUUUUGAUAAAAGAAGGGGUAUACCUGAUGAUGCACUUGACUCUCUAAUUCUUACAGAGUCUAAUAAAGAAAUUUUGGUAUUGUAAUUUAUCUCUUGAUUCAUAUUAUUAGUAUGAUUAUUGCAGUUAGUAAAAUAGUAGUUUUCAUAUCGUCUUGCUUUUAUGAUUUUGUUUUAUAAGCCUUACAUUUCCCUCUUUAUCUGAAUAUUCUGUCAUGUUGAUCCUGACUCCUGAGUCUGAAAGAGGUCUUCGAGCCUUACAUGUUUAAUUUUUUUAAAAAAAAGGAAUCCUGAGUCUGAAAUAGUACUAAAUCUAUAUUAGACAUUAAUGCAACUAAUAACAUGUAAAGCUGAGGGCUGGAUUAGAGCAUGAUUUUGUGACAAUUGAAGGUAGUUGGCUGUACUAUUGAACUUGGUAAUUGGUUAGAAUAAUGCUUAGUUUGUAUUUGAUGUUAAACUUUGGCCCUUUGAAUGAAGAUGCAUUUGUCCCAAUCCCCCAAUUCAAAUUGGAACUGGUAACAUGAGAAUUUUAAGUCCUUUGCUCGCUCUUUCAUGGUUGACACCUGUUAACAAGCAUGGAGAUUCUGGUCAUACCCAUUUUGUUUUCUUAAGUUACUCACAUUCUUAUUUCUCUAUCUCUCUCUCAUACAUAAAAAAAAUAAAUCAUUUUUUCCCUUUUGUGGGCCUCUAAAUUUCAUCAGUUUCUUCAACUGCCGAACAUUUUUAGAGUUGCUAUAUUUUUCUAUCUUGGUGUGGUCCCUCAAUUUAUUGUUUCCCCAUUUAAGUUGGUUUGUCUUGAGAAAAAGUUUAAUAGGUGAAAUUAUCAAUUUUUCAGGAAGGAUGUUAUAUGCAUUUAUUGCAAUCAAAUUUGUUUUUUUUGUUUGUUUUGUUGUUAGUCUUUAUAUUAAAUUGCUUAUUUUAAGGACGACAAAGUAUUGUUACAACUAAAAAGGGAAAAUGAAGGGUUGAACUGGGCUAUUUUGAGGAGAACUAAUAUGAUGAUAUCAUGGAUCUUUAGGAGAUUUCAGGUCCUCGAGCAUGUUUACUGCAAUUAUAAUUUGGCAAUGGUGCCAACUCGAUGUUUAUAAUCUUGAGCUAUAAGUUGUGAAAUUCGGAUAAUAUUUAGCAGUAUUAAUCACUAACUUAAGUUGUGAAAAACAAAGCCAGAGGAAUAGUCACUAAACUCCAGUUUUGGUAAUGAGCACUUGAUGGAGUUGCAUAUUGAUCAUCAUAGAUCCGACUUCCUAUAAACCUGGCAAAGU